AUAACUACUGGAAACGGUGGCUAAUACCGCAUAACGUCGCAAGACCAAAGAGGGGGACCUUCGGGCCUCUUGCCAUCAGAUGUGCCCAGAUGGGAUUAGCUAGUUGGUGAGGUAACGGCUCACCAAGGCGACGAUCCCUAGCUGGUCUGAGAGGAUGACCAGCCACACUGGAACUGAGACACGGUCCAGACUCCUACGGGAGGCAGCAGUGGGGAAUAUUGCACAAUGG
rnacentral:rRNA from 1 species